AGCCCUGGAAGCCUGCACAACUGCCUUGGUCCUUCUGACCCCAACAACUGGUCAUUUCAUGCCCCAUGGGAUGCUAGCUGAAGACAUUAAACACAGGGUGGUUUUUCCCUCGAUCCUCACCUGGUUUCUGGCCUAUUGCUCAAGCCCAAGCUGAGGUCAUCUCUGGUUACUCUGAGGAUGUGCGUAAAGGUUGUAGUGUGGAGAAGCAAUGGGGAUGCCUCAUGGUUUUAUGGACCACUUUCCACUUUUCCAGAUGCAAAAAGAGGGGCUGUAACAGUCUUGAGAACAAGGUUGAAGCUGAGAAGGUCAUGACUCUGAGAAUACGGGCAAGAUGUGAAUUCAGAAGACUGAACCUUCUCUCCAUUGUAAUUUGGUGCCUCGUUGAGGGAGGCCACGUCAAAAGUCUGUUGUGGCCAGAAUCUUCAUGAACACCAUGCUUGACCUUAGGCUAUGUCGUAGUGUUGAGAUGAAGAUGGAAAAAUCCCAGGACCACUUGCAAAAAUGAUCUGCAGCUCAAGCAAACCUUUCCAUACCAUGGCUGCACAGCAAGCAUGCUGUUACAAUUCGCAUCCCGGCUCGCCCAACUGUGUUUACAUCUCUUCCUGGUGCCGGAGCCAGAGCCUGGGGUUCCUUUUGAAACAAUUCUGAAAAUACCUUGGGUUUGUGUUCCUCUGGGCUCUGCAAUAACAAACCUGUUCUGCGGUGUGGCUGGU
rnacentral:lncRNA from 1 species